GUAUAGCUCAGUUGGUUAGAGUGUGGCGCUGAUAAUGCCAAGGUUGCAGGCUCGAUCCCUGUAUGGGACA